AGAUCUUGACAUCCUACGUAGGCCUGUGAGAGCAGGCCGUGCCUUCGGGAACGUAGAGACAGGUGGUGCAUGGCUGUCGACAGCUCGUGUCGUGAGAUGUUGGGUUAAGUCCCGCAACGAGCGCAACCCCUAUAGUUAGUUACCAUCAUUAAGUUGGGGACUCUAACUAGACUGCCUGCGAAGAGCAGGAGGAAGGUGGGGAUGACGUCAAGUCAUCAUGCCCCUUAUGAUCUGGGCUACACACGUGCUACAAUGGUUGGUACAAAGAGGAGCGAAACGGUGACGUGGAGCAAAACUAAAAAGCCAAUCUAAGUUCGGAUUGAAGUCUGCAACUCGACUUCAUGAAGUUGGAAUCGCUAGUAAUCGCAAAUCAGCAAUGUUGCGGUGAAUACGUUCUCGGGUC
rnacentral:rRNA from 1 species